AGCGAACGCUGGCGGCAGGCCUAACACAUGCAAGUCGAACGAACCCUUCGGGGUUAGUGGCGGACGGGUGAGUAACACGUGGGAACGUGCCCUUAGGUUCGGAAUAACUCAGGGAAACUUGUGCUAAUACCGAAUGUGCCCUUCGGGGGAAAGAUUUAUCGCCUUUAGAGCGGCCCGCGUCUGAUUAGUUAGUUGGUGAGGUAAUGGCUCACCAAGGCUACGAUCAGUAGCUGGUCUGAGAGGAUGACCAGCCACAUUGGGACUGAGACACGGCCCAAACUCCUACGGGAGGCAGUAGUGGGGAAUCUUGCGCAAUGGGCGAAAGCCUGACGCAGCCAUGCCGCGUGGAUGAUGAAGGUCUUAGGAUUGUAAAAUCCUUUCACCGGUGAAGAUAAUGACUGUAGCCGGAGAAGAAGCCCCGGCUAACUUCGUGCCAGCCGCCGCAGUAACAC
rnacentral:rRNA from 1 species